rnacentral:rRNA from 1 species
AUACGAGGGGUGCAAGCGUUGUUCGGAAUUACUGGGCGUAAAGGGAGCGUAGGCGGAGAUUCAAGCGGAUUGUACAAUCCCGGGGCCCAACCCCGGCUCUGCAGUCCGAACUGGAUCUCUUGGAUCGUUCAGGGGCAGGCGGAAUUCCUGGUGUAGCGGUGGAAUGCGUAGAGAUCAGGAAGAACACCGAUGGCGAAGGCAGCCUGCUGGGGACUUAUCGACGCUGAGGCUCGAAAGUGCGGGUAGCAAACAGGAUUAGAUACCCUGGUAGUCCGCACCGUAAACGAUGCAUACUGGGUGUCCGGGGGUUCCCCCGGGUACCGUAGCCAACGCGUUAAGUAUGCCGCCUGGGGAGUACGUACGCAAGUAUGAAACUCAAAUGAAUUGACGGGG